CUGCACUUAAUACCAUUUGCAUACUCUGAAGAACCUGUCUUUGGACUAGAAUGCUGCAGAAUCAUAAUCAAGUCAAUAAGUAGAUCAUCAAAGGGCAAGUAAGAUAUCAAAAUAAGAGCAUUUCUCAUCUCAGAACCUCUGUACUUUCCUUCCCAGAGAGGGAGAGGGGAAUGAGAUAGAGUAACAGUUACCUGGUAGCUAUUACGAUGAUCUUUUGGAUUUUUGCCUGAGUAGUCCUUAGU
rnacentral:lncRNA from 1 species